AUACGGAGGGUGCGAGCGUUAAUCGGAAUUACUGGGCGUAAAGCGUACGUAGGCGGUUGGUUAAGUUAGAUGUGAAAGCCCCGGGCUUAACCUGGGAACUGCAUUUAAAACUGGCGAACUAGAGUUGAGUAGAGGGGAGUGGAAUUUCAGGUGUAGCGGUGAAAUGCGUAGAGAUCUGAAGGAACACCAGUGGCGAAGGCGACCCCCUGGACUCGAACUGACGCUGAGGUACGAAAGCGUGGGUAGCAAACGGGAUUAGAAACCCCUGUAGUCC
rnacentral:rRNA from 1 species